GACAAACGCUGGCGGCGUGCUUAACACAUGCAAGUCGAGCGGUAAGGCCCUUUCGGGGGUACACGAGCGGCGAACGGGUGAGUAACCCGUGGGUGACCUGCCUUUAGCUCUGGGAUAAGCCUGGGAAACCGGGUCUAAUACCGGAUAUGACUCCGCGGCGCAUGUUGUGGGGUGGAAAGCCUUGUGCGGCUGGAGAUGGGCCCGCGGCCUAUCAGCUUGUUGGUGAGGUGAUGGCCUACCAAGGCGACGACGGGUAGCCGGCCUGAGAGGGCGACCGGCCACACUGUGACUGAGACACGGCCCAGACUCCUACGGGAGGCAGCAGUGGGGAAUUGUUCGCAAUGGGCGCAAGCCUGACGACGCAACGCCGCGUGGAGGAUGAAGACCUU
rnacentral:rRNA from 1 species